UGUUGACCAAUGUGAGAGGAGAACAGGGAAUACCACAGCAGCAUAGCACAGUCGCUAUGAUUCCUACGUACGGGACGUUCCUUACAUGUAGCCUUACUAUUGGUAUUUAAUACCUUCCUGUGUUUAUGUCUGUUAUGCCUAAUCUAAGGGUAUAUGCCUGAUUCCCAAAAUUUGCAGACUCAGAACUUCUCCAGCUUUCUGUCAGAAGAUGAUCAGAAAAGCUGAUGCAAGGCAUUGGAGAAAUACUUCCUUAGCUAUCAGCUGCAGUGAGGGGAAGGAUGCCAUAACCAGUACCAGAAGGAGAGGACCUUCCAGGAGGCAGUGGAGUGGGAUGAGUGGCUCACCGGUGUCCCUGAAGGAACUAUGUCUUGGAGAGGCAGCCUGGGAGGGCCGGCAGCUUGUCACCUAUUCUGAGCGACUUGUAUGAGAAGUCCAGCAGGUGCAUUUCAGUUGUUUCAGUGGACCCUUGACCAGCUCUACAGGGAACAAGUUGAUCCUCCCUUGUCCUUACUGGGGCAAAACUCCAGCUGAACUCCUGCUUCGUGAGGGACUUCAGGACCCCAUGCCCACAGUAAGGUUAUGGGAAACCUAUUAGCAGUUGUACAACAAUACUCUUGUCUGCUGGCUUUGAUCUCUGGUAUAUUAAAUUAGCAGCCAGGAUGACAUAGUAAUGAUUAGUCUUGAGGGACAGGUUGGCAGACACAGUAAAACAGAAAAGGAAACCUCUGGGAUGGCUUCUGCAUGCUCACUCCAACAGCUAUGCUGUCUUCUCCUCACUCUGUCUCCAUAAUGUUGGGUGUAUUUACACUGUAAGCUAGCGGUGACGCAUGUUUCAGUGCUGUGACAUCCCUGAGCUGCUGCAGUGACGCUCAGGAGCUCCGCUUUUGGAGCCUAGCCACUGCGGUGUGGAGCUCAGCACCCUUCGGCUGUGGUGGAGGCACAAACCUCCUGUGCGUUUCUUUGGGCUGCCAGGCAACGUGGGGAAGAUGCUGCCUUUCUGCAGCCUGGCUUAGAUACCCCCGUGCUGUUCCCAGCCAUGCUGGAGGUGUCUGGGAAGAGGGCCAAAAGUGCUAGCACCUUGUAAUUAAUACCUGGUUUGGCUAUAACCUUCUUGUCUAACAUUAAUGGCUGCAUCCGUAUUAAAACACAUCAAUUGCCCAGUUUAAUUAGGGUUUGUGGUUUUGUGGUCUGUAGCGCAGCCCAUACAUUGCCAGGCUCCCCGAGAAGCAGUGGCGAGCUGGCCUCUCUGGUGGGUGAGGAGGAAAGACUGCGGCUGCCCAUCUGCCCUGGGCAGCCUGGACUCUGGGCAGCUGCCUGCUCAGCCUGUGCCUGGAGCCACUCUUGUUGACAAUUAUUUAAUUUCAGACUAGGAAAAAAUAAUAAAAACUUGUGCCUUAUGCCUGCA
rnacentral:lncRNA from 1 species